GGACUACACGGGUAUCUAAUCCUGUUCGCUCCCCACGCUUUCGCUCCUCAGCGUCAGUAUCGGCCCAGAGACCCGCCUUCGCCACCGGUGUUCCUCCUGAUAUCUGCGCAUUUCACCGCUACACCAGGAAUUCCAGUCUCCCCUACCGAACUCCAGCCUGCCCGUAUCGACCGCAAGCUCACAGUUGAGCUGUGAGUUUUCACGAACGACGCGACAAGCCGCCUACGAGCUCUUUACGCCCAAUAAAUCCGGACAACGCUCGCGCCCUACGUCUUACCGCGGCUGCUGGCAC
rnacentral:rRNA from 1 species